AUUUGGAUCCCAGUUCUGCAGGCUGAACAGAAAGUGUGGCGCCGACAUCUGCUUCUGGUGAGGCUUCAGGAAGUUUCCAAUCAUGGUGGAAGGGGAGCCAGAGAAAGAGAGGGCAGAAGCACCACACUCUUAAACAACCAUAUUUCCCGUGGACUCCCAGAGUGAGAACACACUCACGUGGGAAGGGAAGCCAUUCAUGAGGGAUCCACCUGCAUGAUUCAGCACCUCCCACCAGGCCCCGCUUCCAACAUUGGGAUCACAUUUCAACAUGAGAUCUGGAGGGGACACACAUCCAAACCACAUCAGCCCCAUUUGCUGAGAAGCGACCACGUGCCAGGCCCAGUGCAGCCUCCUCGUGUGCACGCCUCGUUUAGAUGGGACCACAGCCCUGCCAGGUGAACAGUGUUACCCGAUUUACAGAUGAGCAGACCGAGGACCAGAGAAGCCCCGGCAGCUGCUCCAGCUGGUGAUGGAGUGUUUGGGGCCGAGAUUCACACUCCGUGCAGGACACCACGGUCUACUUGUGCUCGUGUCUCUGAAUGUGAGAGAGGGAGAGACAUCCCAGGGCAGCGGGACCAGGGCAAGAGGGAGCAGAGGGAGUUCCAGCUUCCCUGGCACCAGCGUUUCCCAGCCGCCCUGCAUCUUGGCUUCACGGAAGGAGCCCUUCUGCGAGGCCCACCUCUUCUCCCUCCCUGCAAAUGCCGUGGGUCAAGGCCAGCUCGGUCUUGUUUCAAGAAGUAAAGCAAUAAUGCUCCUCCGAAGCUGACUGGGGGGAGCAGCAGCAGUGCAGCAGGUGGAGCUGCGAAAGGGGAGCUCUCGGGGUCCUAGACAAGCACCCCGAGUCUGGGGUCUCCAGAUCCAGAGACGCGACCUGUCCAAGCUUUCCACUGGAGAGAGGAACGCUGAGGCUGGGUCCGUGCUGGGGCUGGGUCCGUGCUGAGGCUCACAGUCAAACGGUACCACCUGCAUCGGUGCUUUCCACACCUGAUCUCUCUUGAGCCUCAUGACAACUAUUAUCCACUUGAAGAGGGGGAAACUGAGGCUUAGAAAGCUCAAGCACCCUGCCAAAAGCCAUGGGGGGAGCGAGAACUCCCAUACAGGACUUCCGGCUCCCCGUCCCGCCUCCUCCCACCAUGCCCCAGAACUAGCACCCCCUGAGCACUUGCUUGAGCCACGGUGAGAUCCAGAACCCGGCCGGAGCCAGGCUUCGGCCAAGCCGCGGCCACGCUGCCAUCUGACAAGCCCGGGGCCUGUCCCAACAAGACUGAGGCCCGUGUGGAGACAACUGCACAGUCGUGACCGGUUGUCCUGACAGACCUGCUAGCACCUCCCGAGGCUGGGAGGGCGCUAAGGGGAGCUGGCCUGCCUGCCCGCCUGCUGCGGGCGGCACCUCCGGCGCCUGAGCUCCCAGUUUGGCCGCUAAAGCUAAAUUUUAGCUCCAAGUAAAAAUGUGUCUGAGUAUAAAGCUUUGAAGAUACGGUUUCUUAAUGAAAACGCUGAGUGAAGCCAAUUAGACUGGCAUGGGCAGUAAUCACUAUAAUAAGGGUAAUUGAGUUGGAUUUAUUAUAGCUGACGAUGGCUCUUUUCCCCUUAAGUCGAGAAAGAAAAUAAUUUACUGAUAUUAAAACAUGAUUGAAGUUUUCCUUCAAACCCUUGG
rnacentral:lncRNA from 10 species